CUACGGGGCGCAGCAGGCGCGAAAACUUUACAAUGCAGGAAACUGUGAUAAGGAGACACCGAGUGCUCACAUCAAAUGUGGGCUGUCCGCUUACUUAAAUCGUAAGCGUUAGCAAGGACCGGGCAAGACCGGUGCCAGCCGCCGCGGUAAUACCGGUGGUCCGAGUGGUAGCCGCUUUUAUUGGGUCUAAAGGGUCCGUAGCCUGUUUAGUCAGUCCAUUGGGAAAUCCGGAUGCUCAACAUCCGGGCUUCCAGUGGAUACUGCUCAACUUGGGAUCGGGGGAGGUAAGAGGUACUACAGGGGUAGGAGUGAAAUCUUGUAAUCCUUGUGGGACCACCUGUGGCGAAGGCGUCUUACCAAAACGAGUCCGACGGUGAGGGACGAAAGCUGGGGGCACGAACCGGAUUAGAUACCCGGGUAGUCCCAGCCGUAAACGAUGCUCGCUAGGUGUCAGGCAUGGCGUGACUGUGUCUGGUGCCGAAGGGAAGCCGUGAAGCGAGCCACCUGGGAAGUACGGCCGCAAGGCUGAAACUUAAAGGAAUUGGCGGGGGAGCACAACAACGGGUGGAGCCUGCGGUUUAAUUGGACUCAACGCCGGAAAACUCACCAGGGGAGACAGCAAUAUGUAGGUCAAGCUGAAGACUUUACCUGAAUCGCUGAGAGGAGGUGCAUGGUCGUCGCCAGUUCGUACUGUGAAGCAUCCUGUUAAGUCAGGCAACGAGCGAGACCCGUGCCCACAGUUACCAGCGGCAUCUCCGGAUGGCCGGGUACUCUGUGGGGACCGCCGGUGUUAAAUCGGAGGAAGGUGCGGGCUACGGUAGAUCAGUAUGCCCCGAAUCUCUUGGGCUACACGCGGGCUACAAUGGACGGGACAAUGGGUUACGACACCGAAAGGUGAGGUAAAUCUCAUAAACCCGUUCGAAGUCCGGAUCGAGGAUUGAAACCCAUCCUCGUGAAGCUGGAAUCCGUAGUAAUCGCGUUUCAACAUAGCGCGGUGAAUACGUCCCUGCUCCUU
rnacentral:rRNA from 1 species